CUUGUUGUGCCGCUUCAUGUUCUGCUGUUCUUUUCCUGAGAUAAGCCUGGAUUUCUUCCCAUCUUCUCUCUGCUUCCUGCUGUUUCACCUUUAGCUGAGCAACUGCUUGCUCUGCGUUCUUCUUCUGGAGCUCCUCUUGCUGCAGCUUACUGCUCUUCUCUCCCAUCUCGUUCACCAGCCUAGCAUAAUCCUGGCGCAGUUUGUUCAGUUCAGCCGACUGCCUAAAAAUAAACGUUUUCACAGCUUGCUCUUUUUUUUUUUUUUUUUUUUUUU